rnacentral:rRNA from 1 species
UACGUAGGGGGCAAGCGUUGUCCGGAUUUAUUGGGCGUAAAGGGCGUGUUGGCGGCCAGACAGGUCCACUGUGAAAACUCGAGGCUCAACCUCGAGAGGUCGGUGGAAACCGUCUGGCUAGAGUCCGGAAGAGGAGAGUGGAAUUCCCGGUGUAGCGGUGAAAUGCGCAGAUAUCGGGAAGAACACCCGUGGCGAAGGCGGCUCUCUGGGACGGUACUGACGCUGAGACGCGAAAGCGUGGGGAGCGAACAGG